AUUGAACGCUGGCGGCGUGCUUAACACAUGCAAGUCGAUCGGUAACAGGUGUAGCAAUACAUGCUGACGAGAGGCGGACGGGUGAGUAAUGCUUGGGAAUCUGCCUAUUAGUGGGGGGACAACCCGGGGAAACUCGGGCUAAUACCGCAUACGCUCUACGGAGGAAAGCCGGGGACCGCAAGGCCUGGCGCUAAUAGAUGAGCCCAAGUCGGAUUAGCUAGUUGGUAGGGAACGGCCUACCAAGGCGACAAUCCGUAGCUGGUCUGAGAGGCGACCAGCCACACCGGAACUGAGACACGGUCCGGACUCCUAC
rnacentral:rRNA from 1 species